GACAGAGGGUGCAAACGUUGUUCGGAAUUACUGGGCGUAAGCGAGUGUAGGCGGUUUGGUAAGUCGGAUGUGAAAGCCCCGGGCUCAACCCGGGAAGUGCACUCGAUACUGCCAAGCUAGAGUAUCGGAGAGGUUGGUGGAAUUCUCGGUGUAGAGGUGAAAAUUCGUAGAUAUCGAGAGGAACACCGGUGGCGAAGGCGGCCAACUGGACGAAUACUGACGCUGAGACUCGAAAGCGUGGGGAGCAAACAGG
rnacentral:rRNA from 1 species